AAGACUGCAGCAUUGUGAUUGGUGGGAAAGAUACAUUUUGCAGAAGCUUUUCUGGAGAGAUAAAGUGGCCACUAGAUGGCAGGUCCAAAAAUCUGAUGGGAGUCUCACAGGAGGGCAAAUCUUAGGGAGCAGAAUGUUUCUGGCACUCAAUCCAGUGUUGGUUCAUCAAUAAGCCUUGGCAGUUUGCUAAAAUAUCAGAAAGAGCACUGGAAUGGGAAACUGAGAGGUCUGGGUUCUAUUCUGGCUUUGACAGUGACUCACUGUGUGACAUCCAGAGAGCAUGACCUCCCCAGGCUCCUCACUUCUGAAAUGGGAGGGUUUUGAGGACAAAGUCUCUCUCUGCUUUAACAUUCAAUAUCCAACACAUAGCUAAGUUCCAUUUCCCAGCCUUCUCUGCAGAUAGCUAUGGCCCUGUGACCAAAUUCUGAUUUCUGGCUGGAUGUCACACCCACAGCAAUCUUGGAAGCUAUGUACUGAAGAGCCUCUGUCAACCUGGGUCCCUGACCAGUCUUUACAUGAGCAAGAGAGAAACUCAUGUUGAAAUACUGAGAUUUGGGAGUGUGCGUAUUAUAGAAGCUAAUGUUACCUUAACUAAGAACACUCCUAAAGCA
rnacentral:lncRNA from 10 species